AGUGAACGCUGGCGGCGUGCCUAAUACAUGCAAGUCGAACGGAGAUUAAGUAGCUUGCUAUUUAAUCUUAGUGGCGCACGGGUGAGUAAUAUAUAGCUAACUUGCCCAUUACUAAGGGACAACAGUUGGAAACGACUGCUAAUACCUUAUACUCCGUAUCUAUACAAGUAGGUACGGGAAAGUUUUUCGGUAAUGGAUAGGGCUAUAUCGUAUCAGCUAGUUGGUAAGGUAACGGCUUACCAAGGCUAUGACGCGUAACUGGUCUGAGAGGAUGAUCAGUCACACUGGAACUGAGACACGGUCCAGACUCCUACGGGAGGCAGCAGUAGGGAAUAUUGCUCAAUGGGGGAAACCCUGGAGCAGCAACGCCGCGUGGAGGAUGACACUUUUCGGAGCGUAAACUCCUUUUCUUGGGAAAGAAUUAAGACGGACCCAAGGAAUAAGCACCG
rnacentral:rRNA from 1 species